rnacentral:rRNA from 1 species
UGGGGAAUAUUGGACAAUGGGGGGAACCCUGAUCCAGCCAUGCCGCGUGUGUGAAGAAGGCCUUAUGGUUGUAAAGCACUUUAAGCGAGGAGGAGGGUACUGGUAUUAAUACUACCAGCUACUGGACGUUACUCGCAGAAUAAGCACCGGCUAACUCUGUGCCAGCAGCCGCGGUAAUACAGAGGGUGCGAGCGUUAAUCGGAUUUACUGGGCGUAAAGCGUGCGUAGGCGGCUAAUUGAGUCGGAUGUGAAAUCCCCGAGCUUAACUUGGGAAUUGCAUUCGAUACUGGUUAGCUAGAGUGUGGGAGAGGAUGGUAGAAUUUCCUGUGUAGCGGUGAAAUGCGUAGAUAUAGGAAGGAACACCAGUGGCGAAGGCGACCACCUGAGCUCAUACUGACACUGAGGUGCGAAAGCGUGGGGAGCAAACAGG